UACGGGGGGAGCAAGCGUUGUUCGGAUUUACUGGGCGUAAAGGGCGCGUAGGCGGCCACCGCAAGUCGGUUGUGAAAUCUCUGGGCUUAACCCAGAAAGGUCAACCGAUACUGCGGGGCUAGAGUGCAGAAGGGGCAACUGGAAUUCUCGGUGUAGCGGUGAAAUGCGUAGAUAUCGAGAGGAACACCUGCGGCGAAGGCGGGUUGCUGGGCUGACACUGACGCUGAUGCGCGAAAGCUAGGGGAGCAAACAGG
rnacentral:rRNA from 1 species